rnacentral:misc_RNA from 1 species
AAAAAUAUAAUUAACGUUUAAUUUUUUCGAAAUAAACACGAUUAUUCUCAACAAAGUCCAUUACUUUCGCUUGUACAUGUUUCUCCCGUCAAAAACUAACGAUAUAAAAUCACAAAGGGAGCGUAACCUCUUUUUCCUCGCUGCUGUGCUCGCUUUUAUCACUCGCUGUAACCGUUUGAAGUUGCAAUAGAACCUAGAAGCGUCAAAUGAUUCUAGUUAGCAAACGCAAAGCAGACAUCGAACUGUGAGCAAUCAAACGGGGAAUGCGAGAGACGCUUCGUUGAAUACACUUUCCGGUUCGAAUGAAGUUAAUGAACCUUAAAAAUAAUCUUCCUGUCGAUGCGAACAGGACGUAAGUGAGUUAAUAAGCAUUUAAUAAUUUUUAUAUGUAUGCGACCAAAC